CCUAGCACUACAUUUCCCAGGAGUCAGCGGGCGACGCCGCCGCAGCCGCCGUCGGAGAGCGGGGACGCGGGGCGCGCUGUCGGGCGGGGGCGAGGUUCGGGCCGGUUGUGCCGUUGCGAGGUUGCGGCUGCGAUCGCUGCGGUGGGCCCAGAAUUGUAUCCUGACUUUGUAAAUUGGAGAAGCCAGUGACACUGCCAGUGUUCUUUUGCAGUAGUGUCUGUCUGGGAUCCGGUGCAAGUUGAAUCAUUGUUCAAAUAAGGUGUAAUUGAAAAGUGACCUUCUCUUCAGAGAUGUCAAAAACAAACAAAUCCAAGUCUGGAUCUCGCUCUUCUCGUUCAAGAUCUGCAUCAAGAUCUCGUUCUCGUUCAUUUUCGAAGUCUCGGUCCCGAAGUCGAUCUGUGUCUCGUUCGAGGAAGCGCAGGCUGAGUUCUAGGUCUCGUUCCAGAUCAUAUUCUCCAGCUCAUAACAGAGAGAGAAAUCACCCAAGAGUAUAUCAGAACCGGGAUUUCCGAGGUCACAACAGAGGCUAUAGAAGGCCCUAUUAUUUCCGAGGGCGCAACAGAGGCUUUUAUCCGUGGGGCCAGUAUAACCGAGGUGGCUAUGGAAACUACCGCUCAAAUUGGCAGAAUUACCGGCAAGCAUACAGUCCUCGUCGGGGCCGCUCCCGAUCCCGGUCCCCAAAGAGAAGGUCCCCUUCACCAAGAUCCAGGAGCCAUUCUAGAAACUCCGAUAAGUCUUCCUCUGACAGGUCAAGGCGCUCCUCGUCCUCUCGUUCUUCUUCCAACCACAGCCGAGUGGAAUCUUCUAAGCGCAAGUCUGCGAAGGAGAAAAAGUCCUCUUCCAAGGAUAGCCGGCCAUCUCAGGCCACCGGGGAUAACCAAGGAGACGAGGCCAAGGAACAGACGUUCUCUGGAGGCACCUCUCAAGAUACAAAAGCAUCUGACAGCUCGAAACCGUGGCCAGAUGCCUCCACGUACAGUGCUGGUUCUGCGUCACGGGCCUCUGCAGUUUCUGAGUUGAGCCCCCGGGAGCGAAGCCCUGCUCUCAAAAGCCCACUCCAGUCUGUGGUGGUGAGGCGGCGCUCACCCCGUCCUAGCCCUGUGCCAAAACCUAGCCCUCCACUUUCCAACACAUCCCAGAUGGGCUCAACUCUGCAGAGUGGUGCUGGGUACCAGGCUGGGACACACCAAGGUCCAUUCGAUCAUGGCUCUGGGUCCUUGAGUCCAUCCAAAAAGAGCCCUGUCGGUAAGAGUCCACCGGCCACUGGCUCCACAUAUGGCUCGUCUCAGAAGGAGGAGGCUGCUGCUUCAGGAGGGGCAGCCUAUACAAAGAGCAUAAAGUUGCUUUAGACUGCUCUUCAAUGAUGUUUUCACAUUUAAAAUUUGCCUUGGAUUCUACCAAUGUAAGCCAGAGAACAGUAGAGAUUUGUGGGUCAGCUAUCAAAAAAAUAUGGUCUUUGCCAAAGUGAAUGGCCGUUGGAGCUGUUAGACCCCGUAGGACCCACCGUCUGCUCUGAUCGAUCUGCAUCGUCCCAUCAUGGUGAAGAGCUACACCUCGUACCCUCACACCCUCCAGUUGAGGAGACUGGGCAGAGUGGGAAAGCCCGAGGCUUAGUCCAGGAAGCCCUUGUUUUAAAAUGACAAGGUGGGUGUGUGUCCCAGUAGAAGCCACCCAGGCUGCUUGUUAGGAGAGGACGUGACCAUGCUUCUGUCUUUCUGCUCUGGGGGACAUGUAUAUUUCAUAUUUAGAUCUUCUAGGUGACUUGAAGCAAACACGAAGUCUCUUUUGAGACUUGUAUUUCCAAAUGUGAGUUGUAUCAAAGCAAAACAAACAGCCCAAGGUUGAACAUUCUAUGUUAACUUUGCUGAAAGCAGAUUUUAAGUGACUGAGUGAAGGUUGGAUAAGACCUUAAUUUUUUUUUUCCUAGACCACUUACAGGUAAGUAGGUUUUUGUUUUUUAGUAUCCUAAAAAUUACCUUUGCUGUUUUCUUUUUGGUUGCUCUUGUAAGAUACAACUCCAUGGACCAUGUAUUUUUCUUUUAGUUGGCACCCAAGUUUAUAGAUCUGUGAAAGGCCACUUCUCAGAAAUUACUAGAAAGUAACCAAGUAGAAAGUCCUUUGGUAACACUGGAAUCCACAAGACAUGUUUGUUCAGAGAACCAAAAACACAAGCCCAGAUGGUCCUGUUCUAGAUCAGGUUGCUUAAAGGGCCUCUUUUGUGUCUCCCUUGUGUUUUUAU